rnacentral:rRNA from 1 species
UACGUAGGGUGCAAGCGUUAAUCGGAAUUACUGGGCGUAAAGCGUGCGCAGGCGGUUGUGCAAGACAGAUGUGAAAUCCCCGGGCUUAACCUGGGAAUUGCAUUUGUGACUGCACGGCUAGAGUGUGUCAGAGGGGGGUAGAAUUCCACGUGUAGCAGUGAAAUGCGUAGAUAUGUGGAGGAAUACCGAUGGCGAAGGCAGCCCCCUGGGAUAACACUGACGCUCAUGCACGAAAGCGUGGGGAGCGAACAGG